CUACGGGUGGCUGCAGUGGGGAAUAUUGCACAAUGGAGGAAACUCUGAUGCAGCGACGCCGCGUGAGUGAAGAAGUAUUUCGGUAUGUAAAGCUCUAUCAGCAGGGAAGAUAGUGACGGUACCUGACUAAGAAGCACCGGCUAAAUACGUGCCAGCAGCCGCGGUAAUACGUAUGGUGCAAGCGUUAUCCGGAUUUACUGGGUGUAAAGGGAGUGUAGGUGGCAUGGCAAGUCAGAAGUGAAAGCCCAGGGCUCAACCCUGGGACUGCUUUUGAAACUGCCGAGCUAGAGUGCAGGAGAGGUAAGUGGAAUUCCUAGUGUAGCGGUGAAAUGCGUAGAUAUUAGGAGGAACACCAGCGGCGAAGGCGGCUUACUGGACUGUAACUGACACUGAGGCUCGAAAGCGUGGGGAGCAAACAGGAUUAGAUACCCUCGUAGUC
rnacentral:rRNA from 1 species